UUCGAGGCCCUGUGCCUCAACCCUGAGGUGUUGAGGUUGGCCUACCUCAACAUGCGGCACUACGGGCAGCAAGGGAUGGGCGCAAGUGCCAGCGAAUACCAGACACCCUGAAGCCGGUGGAUGAUCAUCUCGACAUGUUCCUUGUGGUGCCAGCAACACUUGCACCGCUGGUGUGGCAUUCUUUGCACGCUAUGCUGGGAUAGUUUUUUAGGAGUGCCAUGUCUGGACAGCUUAUUCAGAAGCAGGCUGUCGUCGUCGAGAUCCAUGCUUUUUUUUAACGGAUGAUGUUGCAGUGCCCACAUGGGCACUACAGAUUUGCAGCCUACAGGCAGUGUGCCCUGUGGCUGUGGAGCCGCUUGGGAAAGAAGAAUAGGCGGCCCCUGCCAUCCUGUGUGGUCAAGACAAUUAGGGGCAGGUACCCUGCUGACGUGUAUGCGGGCUACAGGGAUGCAGAAUAAAUUGCGUUGACCUAGAGACCACGCAACCCCCUUCCCUUGUCUCUUCACCCUCCCUGCAUGUGUGUGAAGUCGCUCGUAGCCAUGAACGGAAUCCUCUAAAUCACGUGACCUAUUAUCUACGAUAUCACGUGACCAUAACUAUGAUCACAUGAUCGUAGUCAAACC
rnacentral:lncRNA from 1 species